GCCUGAUGGAGGGGGAUAACUACUGGAAACGGUAGCUAAUACCGCAUAACCUCGCAAGAGCAAAGAGGGGGACCUUCGGGCCUCUCGCCAUCAGAUGUGCCCAGAUGGGAUUAGCUAGUAGGUGAGGUAAUGGCUCACCUAGGCGACGAUCCCUAGCUGGUCUGAGAGGAUGACCAGCCACACUGGAACUGAGACACGGUCCAGACUCCUACGGGAGGCAGCAGUGGGGAAUAUUGCACAAUGGGCGCAAGCCUGAUGCAGCCAUGCCGCGUGUGUGAAGAAGGCCUUCGGGUUGUAAAGCACUUUCAGCGGGGAGGAAGGCGACAAGGUUAAUAACCUUGUCGAUUGACGUUACCCGCAGAAGAAGCACCGGCUAACUCCGUGCCAGCAGCCGCGGUAAUACGGAGGGUGCAAGCGUUAAUCGGAAUGACUGGGCGUAAAGCGCACGCAGGCGGUCUGUUAAGUUGGAUGUGAAAUCCCCGGGCUUAACCUGGGAACUGCAUUCAAAACUGACAGGCUAGAGUCUUGUAGAGGGGGGUAGAAUUCCAGGUGUAGCGGUGAAAUGCGUAGAGAUCUGGAGGAAUACCGGUGGCGAAGGCGGCCCCCUGGACAAAGACUGACGCUCAGGUGCGAAAGCGUGGGGAGCAAACAGGAUUAGAUACCCUGGUAGUCCACGCUGUAAACGAUGUCGACUUGGAGGUUGUGCCCUUGAGGCGUGGCUUCCGGAGCUAACGCGUUAAGUCGACCGCCUGGGGAGUACGGCCGCAAGGUUAAAACUCAAAUGAAUUGACGGGGGCCCGCACAAGCGGUGGAGCAUGUGGUUUAAUUCGAUGCAACGCGAAGAACCUUACCUACUCUUGACAUCCAGAGAAUUUGCUAGAGAUACCUUAGUGCCUUCGGGAACUGUGAGACAGGUGCUGCAUGGCUGUCGUCAGCUCGUGUUGUGAAAUGUUGGGUUAAGUCCCGCAACGAGCGCAACCCUUAUCCUUUGU
rnacentral:rRNA from 1 species